CAGGCCUAACACAUGCAAGUCGAGCGCGCCUUCGGGUGAGCGGCGGACGGGUUAGUAACGCGUGGGAACGUGCCCUUCUCUACGGAAUAGCCUCUGGAAACGGAGAGUAAUACCGUAUACGCCCUUUGGGGGAAAGAUUCAUCGGAGAAGGAUCGGCCCGCGUUAGAUUAGGUAGUUGGUGGGGUAACGGCCUACCAAGCCUACGAUCUAUAGCUGGUUUUAGAGGAUGAUCAGCAACACUGGGACUGAGACACGGCCCAGACUCCUACGGGAGGCAGCAGUGGGGAAUCUUAGACAAUGGGGGCAACCCUGAUCUAGCCAUGCCGCGUGAGUGAUGAAGGCCUUAGGGUCGUAAAGCUCUUUCGCCUGUGAUGAUAAUGACAGUAGCAGGUAAAGAAACCCCGGCUAACUCCGUGCCAGCAGCCGCGGUAAUACGGAGGGGGUUAGCGUUGUUCGGAAUUACUGGGCGUAAAGCGCGCGUAGGCGGAUUAGAAAGUUGGGGGUGAAAUCCCGGGGCUCAACCUCGGAACUGCCUCCAAAACUACUAGUCUAGAGUUCGAGAGAGGUGAGUGGAAUUCCGAGUGUAGAGGUGAAAUUCGUAGAUAUUCGGAGGAACACCAGUGGCGAAGGCGGCUCACUGGCUCGAUAC
rnacentral:rRNA from 1 species